CCUACGGGUGGCAGCAGUGGGGAAUAUUGGGCAAUGGGCGCAAGCCUGACCCAGCAACGCAGCGUGAAGGAAGAAGGCUUUCGGGUUUUAAACUUCUUUUCUCAGAGACGAAGAAAGUGGCAGUACCUGAUGAAUAAGCCACGUCUAACUACGUGCCAGCAGCCGCGGUAAUACGUAGGUGGCAAGCGUUAUCCGGAUUUAUUGGUUUGACAGGGAGUGUAGGCGGGAGGGCAAGUCAGAUGUGAAAACUCAUGGCUCAACCCUGAGACUGCAUUUGAAACUGUGUUUCUUGAGUGCUGGAGAGGCAAUCGGAAUUCGGUGUGUAGCGGUGAAAUGCUUAGAUAUAACGAGGAACACCAGUGGCGAAGGCGGACUGCUGGACAGUAACUGACGAUGAGGCGCGAAAGCGUGGGGAGCAAACAGGAUUAGAUACCCUAGUAGUC
rnacentral:rRNA from 1 species